GGGUCCCUGCCUGCGACGUGGAGGCGGGGGCUCAGGAGUCCCUGCUCAGGGAGUUGAAGGCGGGGUUCGGGGUCCCUGCCCCAGACGCGGAGGCGGGGGCUGCCCUCUGGGCGCAGUGGCAGCUGCGGGUAACGAGCGCUUCCGGCGCGUCAGCCGCUAAAUAUAAAGUGCUGAGCGCAUCUUCUCUUUUAAUCCCUCCCCUCCCCCAAACCUGCGGUAGCUUCGUGUCCCUUAAAAUAAAUCCCAGUCCGCUACCAGCGCCUCAAAGCCCCGCCUGGCUUGGCCUGGCCCGCCCGGCUCCAGCCCGGAGGCCUCCUGGGCGUCCUCGGUGAGAGGCGGAGAGGGGGGCUCCGACUGUCCCUGCGCGGUCAGCCACUAAGAGCGCGCACGUGUGCGCUGGCUUUUUGUCCGUCUCUCCCUCUGGCCCGGCCCAUCAGAUCAGGGAUUAGUGCUGGGCCCUGGAAGAAACUUGGUGCAUGGUGACCAGCAUUUUAUAAAAAUGAAACACAAUAAAACGGAAGAUAUCAGGGCAUCCCACAUAGACUAUUGUUUUGUGUUGAGACCAUUUACAUGCGUGAAUAUUUACAUGGGUACUGGGUCAAAUGUGGGAUGUGUUUCUUACCAGAGUGCCAAACAAACGAAUGAAAGCCAGUGCCGAGAACAACUUGAGCCACCCCACAGACCAGGCGUUCUGACUCCCCUGGUCUUAACAGAGGAGGACUGAGAUCCAGCACAGGACAGAGGAGCUGCUGGCAGGACAGGUGCCUGCCCGUCACAGAACACUCUGGUCCCACUGGCACUCAGCCAUGGCCAGUACCAGAAUUUGAGAAAAGGGAGCGGGAGAGAUGGAAAAGUCUUCAAAAUGUAUCUGCCAAGAGCUACCUGUACAUUUUAGACCUGGUUCUUGACUCGUGGAAAAUUGCAGUGGUGAGGAGAGCAAGGACAGGUCGGCCAUGGAAUUAGUGUAGCCCCACUGAGAGAGAUCUCUGGGGAUCCGGGCCUCCUGCUCCUGGAACAGAGGUAGGGCUCUCCCUCACUGUGGCACAGCCUUUCCCUGGGAGCGCACCUGUCUGGAGUAGCUGUCGUCCCCUGUCCCCUGAUCAUCUCUGCAACCAUCUGGCCUGGUUGUCCCCCCGUGCAGCCGCAGCCCUCCUUCCCUCCACUUUCCAGCUCUAGAACAUGACUUGCCCAAUGUUAUAGAUUCUGUGCCUCCCAGAUCCUGGUUUCUGGGCCACAGGCCUCUGUGUUGGAGGUGGGGAAGGACUCUUCACUAACAGGAGUUGGUUCUGUCUUGGAAAAGAGAGUUAGACCCGAAGCCUCAAGACCAGGGUGUGGUGUCAUUCCUGGAGACCUCCAAGAGCCUGCUAGGCUUCUUGGUGUGCAGCUAGGUGGUUCCCUGAGGACAUUAGCCAUGGGGCAAAUGCCCAGGCAGGGCAGAGGCUAAAAAUAUAUGGGGCACACAGGCCCAGGAAUGCCAGUCCUACCACCCAUUCCUUGGUGUCCUGCCCAGAGCGGAGGGUACUUUGCAGAAGGUUUGAGAAGGGGAACGGUUGUGGCAGUACCUAAACUUGACUCUGGAGGUCAUCGGCGUGGUCUGUGUCCCAAGCUGGGGCACACCCAUCCAGCACGUCCACCUUAGACAGCUCUUCAUGGAGCCUAUCUAUCGCCAAGCCUUAGACUCCUGGGGUGGGGAUGGGGGGGGGGGUGGUGGAUGGAGAGACUGCUGAGGAGCUGGGAAACCCUGAGCAGUUCGGACUCCCUCUCUCAGUUUCUCCGUUUGUCCAACAGAGAUUAUAGCUGUGCUGCCCAUCUCGUCAGUGCUGGUGAGGAGCCUGGAGGACCGUGCCGUGGGGGCCUUGGCAGGGGCCAGGAGCCCACCGCCUGGGCCCACCCAGUGGGAAGCUGGCUGUGCCGAGGACCACCCACUGCAAACAUGAGCCGCUUACCUAAGCACCUGCUGUGUGUAUGGAGAAGCGUGAAGCGGGCCCUCACAAGGACAGGUGUGAAUAUGUGGACGUGGGACGCUGCCCUGGGUCCCAUCACAGGCUGGCAGCGUCACACGGCCAGCGUCCUGCAAGAGGAGGGCACGUUGCCACAGCAUAUCACUGUGACUCUGAUGUCCCCCUGAGGAAGUAUGGGCCACGUGACCAUGGGUAUGCUAGGUAUCACUGCUUGCUAGGAGCAAAACGUAACAGGUGAGUUGAUUCAAAGACACGUCAGUGAUGGGUGAUCUACAGGGCAAGUCAAGUCAGUGGCCUGAAGCGUGGGAGCAUGCCAGCGGGGCAGGACCUCACCCGUCUCCUGAGACUGGCACAAGGGAGGCGGGUGCUCGCCUCUGGGGAAGCCCUGGCCCAGCUGCAGGUAGCGCCGCCCGGAGGCAGCCGAGAGUACAGGUGGGCUGGGUGCGGAGAUCAGGGCUGGCUUUGAAGGUGCAACCUACUAGGCCUUCCCAGCAGGGAAAGGGGCUGGAGGCCCAGGGUGUUUGGGGUGUUGGGUGGCUGGAGGAGCCGGGAGGGAAAAGACUGGAAGGGGAUCUUGUUGUUCUUCCGGAGCCAAGAAUUUUGAGGUCUGACCUGCUCUUUGUGAAUCCUGUUGAAAUCCAUUUCCUCCUGCCCAGGGCCCUACAGGGCUGUUUUCCUUAGAGACACGAGGAGCACCAGUAGGUGAGGGCUUGAGGUUCAUGCAUCUUGUUCCCCCUCUCCCCUCCCCUCCCCCUGCCCUCUCCCCUCCCCCUGCCUUCUCCCCUCCCCUCCCUCUCCACCCUUUCCCAGUUAAGCACUCUGGUGUGAGGGAGCUAGGGAGUGAGAAGUCCAAGAAAAACAUUAGGGCCCCGACCCCAGCAAGCCACAGCCACCUUUCCCGGCUUCCCGCUGGGCAGAGGGCUGAGCAGAGUUGGCUUCCCGAGGGGAGCUGCCCCUCAGAAGUUCAGAGGGAAACCCUUCGAGAUUCUGGAAAUAGGAAGGGGCACCAGAGGAGGCCCGAGGGGCUUCUCUCCUGAUGGCGGUCAACUCUGCUGCUGCUCCCCAAGGCUUGAAGAGUGGGGACAGUGUGGGGGGACAUGUUCCUGGGCCUCACUGCUGGAACCCGGCCCAGGGCCUCCAGGCUGUGGGCUCUCCCAGCGUCCGAGACGUCUAGACCCCACCUCAGAGAGACGAGCACUGAGUGUGCAAGGAGCUGCUCACGUGGGACCAGCGCACAGAAGAACCCAGUCAUGCCCCGUCCCGGAUCCCUGCCUGCGGGGCCCUGUAAGUGAGGGUGACAGCCUGGGUGGGGUGUGGGCAGCCUCAGGACCGCCACCAGAGCCAUCCUCAGCCACAGGGCCCUGCCACCUCUUCCCUCUGCCUGGGGCCCCUCUCGGCCUUUCCAGGGAAGAAGAGACAUCCAGGCCGAGAGGGGCCCGGAGGGACAGCCUCCCGGCAGGUGAGGGGGUGGUUGGGGGUGGCCUGCUGAGGACUGAGCUGGACAGCAAAGUGGCAGGUGGCCUGGGGGUGGCUCCUGGUUCCCCCUCCCCUGCUAGUUGGUGGGGGCCUCUGAUGGUGCCACCCUGCCCCCCACCAGCCUGAGAGCCCUUCCACAGCCGGCCUGGCUCGAGGGGAGCGUGCCAUUGUAGUCUGUCGGGCUCAGUUUACAGGGGCCGUGAGAGCGGCCGGCACAGCGAGUCGGUCCGGGCCGCCUGCCGGCCACCUGGACCUUGUCCCCUGACAGUUCCCGAGGGAAGAGGGAAAGGACGACCAAGUGACCAAGGCCACAGCUGAGGACAGGCAUUCAAGUGACAUUUCUUGAUGUUUCCAGAAGACUUCCCCCGCCCUCCCCACCUCUGGCCAGUGUUUCUACUGAGUAGUUGGAGCCACACUGCUCGUAUUAGCACCUAGUGCCUCUCAUGAAGACCAGCAAACCUCCAGGAUCACCAGCCCCUCGAGAGAGCAGGCCAGGUCCCCUGUGAAGAGCCCCGGAUCUGACUGGCCCUGGAUCUGGCAGCCAUCACACGUGGGCCCAGGUGACAGCAGCACGGCCUUCGAAGUUCUGAAGAAGCUGCGUUUGGAAUCCCAGAAGCUCUACGCAGUGAAUCUUGAAAGAGGGCUGCAUCAGGCCACCUGGAGGUGACAAGGGGCCCCACGCACCUGUCCCAGGAAGCUGCCAGAGGAUGCACGAAGAGUGGGCAGGGGGCCCGUGGAGGGGUGCACGGAAGCCAAGCAGGGCUCGCCGACACCGGGAGAGCUGGGGCACGGGGUCCCCUUCCAGCACAGGGACGUGCACCCCCGGGUGGCCAGUGGAGGAAAUGGGGGGUGGAGGGCCCUGGAAAGGGGCAGAGCCCCCACACUCUUGUGUCAACUCUAUAAGUAGACGUUAGGAAAUUGCCACAGGCAGGCCGCAGAUGGGGGUCCUGCCGGGGUGGGAAGGAGGGGGAGGUGGGCUAUGCUUCCUUAAGACUGACUUUGCUCCGACGCUAAGUCCGUCCUAAGAGAGCUGGGAAGACGGCCUUCUGCCCGCGCCCUGCCCCCAUCCGGGAGAGCAGUCGGUGCGUCUGAGGGGAGGCAGUGCUGACGGGACACGCAGGGAUGGGUGGGCUGUGCUGUCCAGACAUGGCCAGGUGGUGAGAAUGGGCCCUCCCGAGGCUGUCACAACCGGUGGCCCUGGACCCUCGGGUCACCAUAUCAUCGAUUCUUUCAUUAACUGCUUGAUUGAUUAAUCCCCUGGUCACUGAUGCGUUUGUGCCCCCGACGUCCGCUGGGGGCCUUCCGCACGUGAGACCCUUGCUGGGUGCCAGAACGGAGCCAGGAUCGACACCGCACAGCCACAGGCUGGCCGGAAGGUGGCCUUGGGGGCGGAAGCUGGGAAGCGGGCCAGCGUCCCCGGCAGGGUGUCAGGUCGGUGAGGAAGCCCAGAGAGGCCUUGCGGCAACCGUGCUUUUUGCUCGGGCUCCGAGAGGUGCCCGUUGCUUCCCCUCCCCUGGGUGGCACGGGCGGGGACGCAUGCCAUGCCACCGCUGCCGGCGGGCCUGGGCCUAGCAGUGUCCUUGUUGCUGGGACGUCCUCACCCUCCUGACAGGAGGGUGGAUUGAGGGCCCUGCAGUCUGCCGGUCGGCCUGGGGGGCCCUGUCUCCACACGCCGCCGGGACUGUGUGCCCCGGGGCACCUCGUCCUUGGCCGUGCCGCCCAGGACCUUUGCACAGGCUGUCCCGCACAGGCUCUGUGUCUCUUUUCACGUGUCCCUCCCGCUCUGUGGAUUGGGCCAGGCUGGCUCCUCCCCACGCCCUGGUCCUUGCACACAGAGUGAAGGGCACAGAGGUGACAAACUUGAGCCCCAGGCCAGCCCGAGGCCAUGCAGCAGGAGGGGACAGAGGAGGGACCAAAGCCAUUCUGGGUGACCAUUACCUGCCUGGCCCUGUGUCUACACCACUAGCCAGUGGGACAGUGAGGAGACCAGCCCAGCACAGGUAACACCUAGUGCCCAGCUGCCCUGCCUUUGCAGGAGAACCCCUUGCUGGGCCCUCACCUUGCCAUGCCUGAGUAGGCCUGCUCCCACGACACUGCCUCCUGGAAGCCCUCCUGCCUCCCUUCCAAAGCAACACUUCUGUAUCACCCUGCUGACUGUCCUUGUGCUACUCUGGCUCUGACUCCCUGACUCACGGCCUUUCUGAUUUCCUGUCACCAUCCCGUGCCGGCACGUGUCCCCGGAGCCCAGCACAAGCCUGGCGCACGGUGGCGUCCGGGAGGCGUCGGCCAAGGAAUCGAGGAACACGCUCCCCUCCCCACAUCGUGGAAGGAGAUGCCUUUGUGUGGAGUCCCUGCCCUGUGGAAGUCUGUCCCUGGAGCCAUUUCUCUCCUCCCCCCACAUCUGCCUGGGAGGCCCCUGGUGGCCCCUGCCGCAGGCCCCCAGGGCACGGGCUGCGCGCCUGUGUGCCAACGUCCGCAGCUAGCCGCGUUCCCGGGAGAAACGUGCGUUUCUGCCCCCGCUGUCCGGCAGGGAAUGUUCGCGGCAGCUUUCUUCACUGUGGCCCUGCCACCUGAAGGGCGAGUACACAGGCGGUGGGUAUCCAGCCGGUGGAGAACCAUCUGCGAGAGCUUGCCCGCGCACGCGGGCCUCACCUGCCCGGGGAAGGGUUCCCAACACAAAAGAGAAGUCUGGGGCUCCGUGAGCCUGACCCGGCGUCGCCCCACGACCCUGGCGCUCCUCUCUGAGGGGGGUGCCCAAGACAGGCGACAACCUGUGUCCGCCCACGAGUGCGCACAGCAGCACCGUUCCAGAGAUCGAACAACCCAACAUCCGCCAACCAACGGACGGGUCCACCAAACGUGGUCUCUCCACCGGCGGAGUGUCACUCGGUCUCAAUAAGGAGCGAGGCAUGGACACUGCCGCGUGGACGAGCCUUAAAAACACAGUUCAGAGUGAGAGAGGCCGGGCCCGGGAGGACACACGUCGUAUGAUCCCAUUUGCAGGAAAAUCCACAGGGACAGAAAGCGGCCUCAUGGUUGCCAGAGACUGGGGAGACAGUGGGGUAAGGACUGACUGUUUCCAAGUCUCCUUUGGAAUGAUGGAAUGUUCCAGACUGAGAGGGGACAGCUGCACAACAGUGCCAAUGUACUCAAUGCCACUAAGUCGUAUACUUUGACGUGGUUACAGUGGUGGAUUUUAUGUGGCGUGCAUUGUAUCACAAUGCAAAUCAACCCCUCACAAAAAUAAAACAUUGGGAGUGGAAGAGCGUGAACUCUGCCUAGUUCCACUGACGAAGUUUCUGUAUGAGCUCUAAAAACAGCAUAUGGGUUCUCAGGGCAGGACCUUAAUUUUGCAAACUGUUUCCGAGUUGAACAACCCCCUUUGAUAGACUGGGAAUAUCAAAACGCCUAUUGGCAUGGAUUUGGGGAAAGGUUUUAACGUGUGAGAAGACAAGCCUUCCUCCCCUAAAGAAGAGAUCCACUGGCUUGUCCAUGACUUCCAACCUCAUACUUUGGACACAUGCUACUCUCUUUGGCUUCCCGAGAGAAGGGCAAGUGACUCAUCCCAACCAUCCCCCCACUUCAGGAAUCCUGACGGAAAAGAUCGGGAGUGUGGGCAUCUCUUGUGUUAGAGCACAGAGUCUUAACCUCAGGGGAUGGGCGACUCCUCUGGAUGAGCUUUUCAGAAUGCAGGUAACUGGGUCCCUCUGAAACCUGCGGGUAGAACUCCGAGAGAGGCUGGGUGCACCUGCGUGCCUACCUGUGCGGGUACACACAGCACCUGAGUCUGUGUGUGUUUUUAUUUGACUUCUCAGGUGCUUAAUGUCUCAUGUAUAUACAAGAAUGUAUACAUCAUGGUGUGCCUUUCAUAAUAAGGAAGCAGGAGCCCACGUGCCCACCUCCCAACCCAAGAAGUAGAGUUUAACCAGCACCUCCGAGCCCUAGAAACCUUCCUUAAUGGUGUCCUUCAAUGGAGAGACCAUCGCUCGGUCCACUUCCACUGCCGCCUGGCUUGGCUCCUGCCGUUGAGCCUGGGUGUCUUUGGUUUAUGCUCUCCAGGGGUGGGGGUAGUGUUGCCUGGCUGUGUGGGAUGGGGCUUGGGUAGCAACACGGGGUCCAGCUACACUGGGAACUUCCAGUGCCUUCUUGGUCCAUACACCAAGGAAACUGGCAAAUGUUAUAAAUCAAGGCUCCCCCACCCACUUAGGAAGACAGUUAUCAAACAUUCACCAACGCCUAACUGGGUAGUUGAUCCCUGACUUCUAGGACCUCAAGUUCAGUGGAAGCGGUAAAACCUACAAGCAUAAGAUAACUUAAGAAUGUUGACGAGAACCCCUCUGGGUAUAUCCCCUAAAGAACCGAGAUCGGGGUCUCGAAGAGACAUCUACACACCCACGUUCACAGCAGCAUUAUUUACAACGGCCAAGAGAGGGGAGUAACCCAGGUACCCAUUGACAGAUGAACGGAUAAAUAAAAUGUAGUCCAUCCAUACACUGGAGUAUGAUUCAGCCUUAAAAAGGAAGGACGUUCUGACACCUGCUACAACAUGAAUGAACUUGAGGACAUUAUGCUCAGUGAAGUAAGCCCGUCACAAAAAAAAGACAAACCCUGUAUGAUUCUACUCACAUGAGUGACUCAGAGUCAAGAUCAUGAAGACAGAACGCAGACUGGUGGUUGCCGGGGGCCAGGGGCAGGGGAAACGGGAAGCUGUUUAGUGGGUGUAGAGUUUCAGUUU